rnacentral:rRNA from 1 species
GACGAUCAGCCAGACUGGGACUGAGACACGGCCCAGACUCCUACGGGAGGCAGCAGUUCAGAAUCUUGCACAAUGGACGAAAGUCUGAUGCAGCCAUGCCGCGUGUGCGAAGAAGGCCUUCGGGUCGUAAAGCACUGUCAGAGGGAAAGAUCAUGACGGUACCCUCAAAGGAAGCCACGGCUAAUUACGUGCCAGCAGCCGCGGUAAUACGUAAGUGGCGAGCGUUAUCCGGAAUUACUGGGCGUAAAGCGUUCGUAGGCGGUGCAGUAAGUUGGGUUUGAAAGCCCGGGGCUCAACUCCGGACCCGGAUCCAGAACUACUGUACUUGAGCGUAUCAGGGGGCAGUGGAAUUCCCGGUGUAGCGGUAAUAUGCGUAGAUAUCGGGAGGAACACCAGUGGCGAAGGCGACUGCCUGGGGUA